GACGAACGCUGGCGGCGUGCUUAACACAUGCAAGUCGAGCGGUAAGGCCCUUUCGGGGGUACGACGAGCGGCGAACGGGUGAGUAACACGUGGGUGACCUGCCCUCAGUUCUGGGAUAAGCCUGGGAAACCGGGUCUAAUACUGGAUAUGACCUCAUGACGCAUGUUGUGGGGUGGAAAGCCUUGUGCGACUGAGGAUGGGCCCGCGGCCUAUCAGCUUGUUGGUGGGGUGAUGGCCUACCAAGGCGACGACGGGUAGCCGGCCUGAGAGGGCGACCGGCCACACUGGGACUGAGACACGGCCCAGACUCCUACGGGAGGCAGCAGUGGGGAAUCUUGCGCAAUGGGCGAAAGCCUGACGCAGCGACGCCGCGUGAGGGAUGACGGCCUGGUGU
rnacentral:rRNA from 1 species